CAUUCUCUGCGGUGUUCGAGUAGUGGGCUGGGUAACCCCUUGAUCCUAAUUGAUUAUACCCGGGGAUGUGGUUGUUGGUGCAGGUGUGCAUGUCCGCCAAGUUGUGGAAAGCCUGAUGCAUCGCGCUGCUCCCCACUUGAACUUCUACGGUUCAAGGGCAAAAGCCCGAGACGGCACAGGCGGAGAAUGC
rnacentral:other from 1 species